UAGCAACCAUGAUAACAAAUUAUAGUGC
rnacentral:piRNA from 1 species